rnacentral:lncRNA from 1 species
AGAGGGCCCUUUGUCACUGGAGAAAAAUCAUAAUGUCUACGUGAUAGCGCAGAGAGAUGAUCUACAAUUCAUCUGUAAAGGUACUUAUUUUCUGCCUUCAAAGCUAAUAGUAGAGCACUUGGCGAAAAGAAAGAAGAGAAUCCUACUCCCUCCAUAUCUAAAUAAUUGUAUUUGGAAGAAUUAAUCGGGUUCUUUCGAACUAUAAUUAUUUAGAUAGAGAGGAAGUAGAAGUUAUGCAGAGUAUUCUCUGCAUACUGCCACAGCCACUGAGUAAACCCGUAGUACCCUGACCAUGUUGGCAUGAUAUCUAUCCUACAAGCUGUCUCAGCAGCUCCACACUCAAGCACGUAAAUACUACUGGUAGUAACAACCAUCCAUGCGAUAUGCAAUAUAUAAACGAAUCCUAGGAGGCUCGUAAACAUUCCCAGGUAGCGUUUUUGACGCCCUCCUCCUCGGCUCGAGGAGACCUCGCCCGCCGCCGGAGGGAGCCCGCUCGCCCGCCCCCUCCUCCUCCCGUCCAGCGCCGGGCAUUGGGAUCUCGCGGCUCGCUCCACCCGCGCCACCCCGCCCAAAUCCUAGCCGCCGUCACGGGAGAGUCGUGUUGCUGCAGCAGGAUCCAACGAAUCUGGAGACACGCACCGCGCCGUCACCGGACCCCCUCUCCGCCCCCACUCCCGCUUCGCCGCUGCUGGAGGGGACGCAGGCGAAGCCGCGCGCGCCCCGGGGAUGGCGGCGGAGGGGCCCCUCGCGUGGCCCUCGGGCUCUGACGGCAGCGCCCCGCGUCGACAGUUGCGGGAUCCGGUGUGAUCUCGCCAAUUGGUGGUGGCGGAGGGCGGAUCCGGGGCUCCAUGGCCGGAUCUGGCGGGGCACUCGGCCCUGGUGGUAGGGAGAGGCAGCCGGGCGCGACUGCGCUGGUCGGUUGGGCACGAGCAAUGUCCAGGCCGCGCGGUGCAGUGGCCUUGGUUGGGGGUUGUGAUGGUGCGUGGCGGCCAUGCUCAACGGUCGGUGAUGGUGGAUAUCGAGCGCAGCUCCGGGAGAAAUCCUUGCUCCGGUCUUCAUCGGAGUCGCGACGGCGACGCCCGCGGGUGCCGCUAUCUUUCUUGGAAGCGUCGUUGUAGAAGUGUGAUGUUCCCCUUCAUCGGCCGCUGCCCGCACCGCCACGUGCGCCCCCAGGUCCUGAUCUGUGGGCCUCUCUCCUGCGGAUUGACGGUGCCGGCGUGGUUGCCGGGGCCCUUCCUGCGGGUGAAGCCGGUGGAGGAGAUUCGGAUUGGGGAAACCCCUCGGUUGGCCCAGGCCCGCCAUGCCAACGACGACGCUCAAGGGCGCCGUUAUUCUUUUUGGAGACGUCGGUAUACAUCUGCUCCUCUGCCCCCCUUCCUUGCCUCUCGGGUGAAAAUCCUAACUUCGGUGGGCGGCGGCGGCGUCCUUGACGUCGUGACCUUCCUGAAGGCGUCGCCUUGAGGGCUGAGUGGUGGUGGGCACUGUGUGGGUCCUGAACGGUUGCUGGUGUGUGGGCACUGCUUCGGGGGAAACCCUAGGAUCUGGUCUUCCAGAUCGGACGAUGGCGGUACUGCGGUGCCGUUUCUCUCUUGGGAGCAUCGUUUGUGGAGGAGCGCUGGCAGACUGAGGCAGGAGGUGGUGCGGCUUCGUCUUGCACGGAAUUUCAAUGGAGCUGUCAAGUCAUGUCUGGCCGACACGUGCUACGCUAAGUCAUGCCUGGUUGGCAGGUGCUACGCACGAUAGAUCUCCCGGAGUCUUUGCAUCUGGACGGAUGGGCGCAGGGCGGUGGCGCCGUUGGGUGCCCUGGUAGCGUCGAAGGAUGAUUGGACUGGCAAGGAUGAUGCGGAUCUCUUUCCUGAAGAUGGAUCAGUGGUUCGAGGAUGAUGGCGGCUGGUAAAAUGUGUGCGUGAGGUGUGUGUUUUAGGUGUGAUGCACCGGCUGUUGUUCCCGAUACGUUAUGUGGAUGGAUUGAAAACAACACCGGUCUUAGAUAUGUGGAGUGAGAGCACUUCAUAUUAUCAAAUUUGUAGGUGUGAGUGGUGGCUUUGGAUGGAUUGAUGUAUAAUCUUGUUAAACCUUUGUGGAAUAAUUAAUAAGAUGGACACAUGCAUCAAUUGAUGCAGAGGCCGGGGGUUUGACCUCUUUUUCAAAAAAAAAAAAAAGGAAUCCUAGGAGGGGAAACUGGAUACAAACUGAAGGAGCCGAUUAAGCAUAUGGAUCCAUGCAUGGGAAAGGGACACGAUCGAGGCAAUCAUUAGCAGAGACAGAAACCUAGUCUUUAGUGUUGUUUUCCCUUCAGCAGAGACAGAAACCUUGUCAUUAGCAGAGACAGAAACCUAGCCCAAGUAUAAUAGACAGUAUCUGUGAGAAGAACAGAGAUCGCAACACCUUUAUAUGCCGGAGACGGACGAACCCGAGAAAGCAGAGCGAGUAAACAAGGCGGGCAUGCAGGAGGAUGUAACUAAACUAAACUGGUGGAGGUGGUGUAGAAAGCAGAGGAAGCAGAUCUGAAUUGGGCGCGCCCCUAACCCCAAUGCAAGCAAUGAAGGAAUCGCAUGCAGCAGCAAAGGGAGGAGGCUCUGGCUAUUUUGGCGUGCCCAAUUAAUGAUGCGGGAAGAAGGGGACGAACGCCUCUGGCCUGCGGCGAAACUCGGGAAGGUGGGCAAAUCUUUGGCA